rnacentral:rRNA from 1 species
GACGAACGCUGGCGGCGUGCUUAACACAUGCAAGUCGAGCGGUAAGGCCCUUUCGGGGGUACACGAGCGGCGAACGGGUGAGUAACACGUGGGUGACCUGCCCUCAGCUCUGGGAUAAGCCUGGGAAACCGGGUCUAAUACUGGAUAUGACUCCAUGACGCAUGUUGUGGGGUGGAAAGCCUUGUGCGGCUGAGGAUGGGGCCCGCGGCCUAUCAGCUUGUU